rnacentral:rRNA from 1 species
UACGUGGGGGGCGAGCGUUGUCCGAAGUUACUGGGCGUAAAGCGCGCGUAGGCGGGAAAUUAAGUGAGAAGUGAAAGGCUGGGGCUCAACCUCAUGCAGUGCUUCUCAUACUGGUUUUCUUGAGGGCGGUAGAGAAAAGUGGAAUGGCUGGUGUAGCGGUGAAAUGCGUAGAUAUCAGUCGGAACACCGGUGGCGAAGGCGGCUUUUUGGGCCGUUCCUGACGCUGAGGCGCGAAAGCCAGGGGAGCGAACGGG